UUUCCUGAGGUUCUCUUCUCUCAGGAAGGCAAACUCAGGAACGAGUAGGAGUUUGCUGAAAAUCCAGAGCCUUGGAAGGCAGAAAUGCAAUGAUGUCCUUUUCUUUCUAGAAGUAAGGUGUCUUCUGAGAUUCAACGAUGGAACAACACGUCUAGUCAACACAUUACCAUCUUAUGGCACUGUGCAGAACACUCCAAAGCUACCCUGUAUCUGCACAAUUCAUGGAUACCCUGAGAUAUUGUUCUGGUAUCAGGACUGGGAGGUUUGGAUCUAACUCAUCCCACCCAAGGCCCAUCACCCAUCGGUGAUUCAGCUGAAGAUGCUCCUGAAGAGAGGUUUGGUGGCCACGGGUUCCAUGUGAGCUCUGUGAUUUUCUCCUUGCCGCUGCAGAGGCCGUGGGUGCUGCCCAAGGAGAGCAGGAGUCCUGGUGGAACAAAGUGAUGGGCUGACACGGAGGUGAAGCUGGACUCCCUUUGAAUCCUACCAAGCAAGGAAGAAAACAUAAAUUACAGCUCCCCCUGAAUCCUCAAACACGUGAGCCUCUUCCACAGCAGGACAGCCUGCACAUCUUCUUGAAAGAAUAGAGGACUGAUGGUAAAACAGUUAUUUUUGAAGUGGAUUACUGUCCAGCGUGGCAUUUUAGUCUUUCUUGCAUUAGUUCAGGCUGAACACAAUGGUGUCUCUGGAUAAUUUUCCACCUGUCUGUUUUGAAUAUCAGAUGGAAGUGUUUAGCUGGUGAACUGGAAUGGUGCCAGAUUUUGCAGGAGCCUUUUCUCUUGAGUUCUGCUGUUUUUGUAACUACUUAGAUGGAAUUAUCCAAGCAUGCUCCAGGCUGGCAUGGGGUAAAUGCUGAGCAACACAACUGGAAUCGGCUCUUCAUAUGUCAACACAAUUCCAUAGUUAAUGUCAAGGAACAAGCUACUGGAGCACAUUUAACUGUAAUUCACAGGUCCUCAAAGGGCCAGAAGGGUAUUUGAUGUUGUACAGACCUGCAGGAUGACCCUGACCCGUCAGCACAGUCAUUCCAGAAACUGAAAAGAAAGUCAUUUGCACCAUUUUGUUGCUGGACUGAGGUGCAGUGUGCAUAAAUGUGCAUGAAAGCUGUAUUGCUGAGCAUGACUGAAAGCCUCUUCCUCUCUUAAGCAUCCUCUAAUAGGAUGGAAGUAGGAUAAUUCAGCCAGGUAAUGCGGAGCUUUGAAGUUAAUGACUCUAUUAGGUAUUUAGCAUAUUCAUGUUGGAGACCUUGGAUAACUGGAAUACCGAAUUUAGGAUUUCUAAUUGACUCAGCUAUUACUUCCUUGUGCUGCUUGGUUGGGGCUGAUCGUGAGGAAGGAGGUAGCAGUGCCAGCUGCUGUUUUCCCUAGUGGAAAACGAACCCGACCAUCCCCAUUCUCACAUGUGGUUGGUAUCUCCACAGUGCAGGAAUUUGUUAGCUUAAAGCUUCUCUCUAAAUGGGUGACAACUCUUCCCUGAUAAGCUGUGGCAGCCCUGCAUGUGAGACCUCAGACACCAAAUAAACAGUGCUGGCAUCAGAUAAUUCUGUUUAGAAUGCCAAAGCCUCAGAAGUAUCCUAUCUUUUGAAAUGCAGUGAUUUUUUUUUUCAUGGGUUGUUUACAUCUUCCUGCAGUGACUUCAUGUCAGCUGUUAGCUCUUCAGUGUCUAUGAAAGAUUAAACCAUUGAUCCUAC
rnacentral:lncRNA from 7 species